rnacentral:rRNA from 1 species
AUUGCACAAUGGGCGCAAGCCUGAUGCAGCAACGCCGCGUGGAGGAAGACGGUUUNCGNNUUGUANANUCCUGUUCUUAGGGANNNNNACAGUGACUGUCCCAAAGGAGCAAGCCACGGCUAACUACGUGCCAGCAGCCGCGGUAAUACGUAGGUGGCAAGCGUUGUCCGGAAUUACUGGGUAUAAAGGGAGCGCAGGCGGGAAGACAAGUCAGCUGUGAAAUACAUGGGCUUAACCGAGGAACUGCAGUUGAAACUGUUUUUCUUGAGUGAAGUAGAGGUUGGCGGAAUUCCGAGUGUAGCGGUGAAAUGCGUAGAUAUUCGGAGGAACACCGGUGGCGAAGGCGGCCAACUGGGCUUUUACUGACAUUGAGGCUCGAAAGCGUGGGGAGCAAACAG